rnacentral:lncRNA from 1 species
AAUCGGAAGCUCAGCCAGUGCAGCGUGUGGUUCAUUUGGACAAUUGCUGUACACUCCAAGGAUGGAUGUGGACCAUUUGUCUACGCCUUGUUGUCUCAGCAGGUCCCCGUCAGUGCUAAUGAGAACAGAUGCGUCUUCCUAGACAGUUUCCAUCACCGUGCACCUGGGUUAAAAACCUGAUGACAGCCCAUUACCUCGGGCGAAGGCUGAUGCCACAUGGGAGGCACCGAGUCUCCAGCUGCCUCCCUCUGACGCUCUGUCCACCAGGCUGGACUCUGUACCUGCCUGCCCUGCCCUCAACAGGCCUGAGUCUCCUAGCUCCACACCUUCGGUAUGGCAUCCUCCCCCGAACACCUCCUCUUCACCCGGAUGAGAGCAGCUUCAGCUCAGUCUCUUCCACCGUCUCACAUGGAAACAAACAGAUGAAACCACGUCUGUCCGGUACCCAGCGGACUUCACCUUCCCGGGAAGAAAGGCCGAGGCAAAGACUUGAGGGGGAGGUGGAAGAGGAAGAGGUGACCGAGGUGACCCACAGUGUCUGACGAGGAUGGGUAUGGUGGAUGGACUAAUGGUCGACUUGUAAUGCCCAGCUGAACUGAAUCAGCGUGCUCUGGGCAUGGAGGAGCCACCUGAGAAUUGUUGUUAGUAGCCAUUAAAAGAGAACUGGAGGGGAAGCUCUUGGACUGUUGAUUUUGUAGGAGAAGCUUGCUGUGGAUGGUUUUCCUGAUGCAAACUUGGCUGUUCUCAUGGGAGGAGGAGCUUGGGGCUUUGCUGUCACUGGGAAUGCCUCCUGUUUUUGCUCCUGUUUUCAUCAGAGGAGCUCUGAUCUUCACUGUGAGCAUCACUUCCUGGCUCCAAUGUGGAUCCCUCAGCCUGGUGGCAGAAAUCCUUCAUCUCACCAACGUAGAUUUUCUGGCUUCCACCACUGGCCUUUGGGCCUUCCAGGUACAGAUCUUCAAUAUGGACAAGCAUGAGACAUUGCCAUGGGCUCUAGGCCACUGGCUGGACUUGAGGAACACAUUGCCUUGGACUCUAGGCCUUCAGCUGGAGUCGUGUGAGAAACUGCUGGGAUCCAGGCCCUCAGCUGAAUCCUUUGGGCUUCUAGUGUGCAGUUAAUCUCUUGCACUCCUUUGCAUUUGACUUUUUGGGUAAUUAUCAUAAAAUAAUCUUAUAAAUGAUGUGUGCUGUAUUUAAUGUAUUCCCUUGCC